rnacentral:tRNA from 1 species
AAAAUCUUAAGUUAUUUCCAAACUGUUAAUUUUCAAGAUUAAAAAAAUACUACACUGUAUAGGUUUUA